AAUUGGAGAUAUGUUGGCAUUUCUCCAGGUAGGAGGAACACAUCUGGUGUCUAGUGAUUGUUGGAAUAUGAAACUUAGUAUAGAUUCAAUAAGAUCCCUUCACCAUACAAUGAAGUACUUAUGCACUCCCAGCAUUACUCAAUCUGGACAUGUAGCUAUAAAGGUCAAGAACAUGUUCCAGCAUUGAAAUGCCGUAUUGUAGCUGCGUCUGUUGAUGACAGACCAUGCUUUGACAGAAACUCUGAUACAAAUGUUUCUGACAAUGAUUUGUAAAUCAUCAUGCUGCUGUUCUGUGGAUUUGUCUAUGUGAAAUGUUUGACAUCACUGAAGGAGCAAGUAUCAUCAAAGGACUAUGGUUAGUUGUGUUAAAUGCAAACAUUGGAUGCAUAUGAGAAUGCAUGGUGCAGAUUGAUCAAGUUCUGACAAUGCAAAAAGGAAAUGUAUUCAAUAUUUGUUGUACUAAAAUCACUCUUAGAUGCUUGUCCUUGGAAAAAAUGCUCUCCAUGAAUAUGCAAAAGACACAAAAACUUGUAUACCCAACACUUAAAUGCAGAUAAUGCCAUGUAGAUUUCAAUCCUGUCCUCCGUCACUUUUCCUUGAAAAAAAAAAACAUUUCCUCAGACGUGCUGUGAAUGAUUUUUUCUGGUACCUACAAAUGAUGACACUUGAAGCAUUUUUCCUUAAUCCAAUGACAAACAUUUGUGUGUGUGGUCUAUAUAGAUGUAUCCCUGCACGUAUGUAUUUUAUUAAGUUAGAAGUUAUGAAUGAUUGUUGUACAAAUUGUAAAUGAAUUCCAUUUUGUAAUUGAAAAGUGUUUGAUACUUCAUAAUGUAUUAAGUGUAGUUGCUACAAUAUGAAAUGGACUCUAUUUGCUCCUAUACAUUAUCCAUAAAACCAUAUCAUUUAGUUGUGUACAGUAGAUAGAAUGAAUGAAUGAACGAAUGAAUGGAUGAGAGUUAUGUGUUUGUGCACCUUUCCCAUCCCCAAAAUGCUAUGCAAGACAGUAUGAUUCAUUAUUGAAGUUGUAAAUGCGUACAUGUAAGAAAUCUUUUGAUAUUGAAAGAAAUCUUUAUGUGCUUGUUCAUUUUCCAAUUUGCUUGAUAUUGUAGGAGUUUGUUGACCAUCAUACUGCCUUACAUGCAUUAGUGUUGUUCUUUUUUGUGUUGUCUUCAAAGCCACGGUGCGAUGUAAAAAAAAUUUCCUUGAAUCCCACCCGAGUAAUAGUUUUUUUCACGCCUUUGAUAUUUUUUCUUCGCAGAACUCUGGUAAGUUCUGAGUAUAAAGUGCUAACAACUAUUGGUGUAUAAGGGUAAAAACAAAUUAAUAUUCUUUAUUCCGGAUGCAAGUGUAACAUCUAUAAAUCGUUUGCAGUACCCGCUGCUACACUUGCGAUUCAAAAUGCCUCUAGCCACCGGGCAAUCUCAGUGGUCUAGU